GCCUGGCUGACUCAGUUGGAAGAGUGUGAGACUCUUGAUCUUGGGGUCGUGAGUUCAAGCCCUAUGUGGGGUA
rnacentral:tRNA from 1 species